rnacentral:lncRNA from 1 species
CCAGUAGGAGAAACAUAGAUGGGGGAUAAGUCCUCUUUUCUCUGAUUGGCCAUUUUAGGUCAUGUGCCUGUUCCUGGACCUGUUACAGUUACCAGGGAAUUCUGUGUGCUGAUUGGCUGAAAUAAUCCCUGGAAAGGAAGAUUGGCUACGUGAUUGGCUAAUUGGUACCCAUCAUAAGAAGAGAUGGAACUAGCUCCUGGAGGCCAGGGAUGGUGGAGACAGAGGGGACACCAGCGCCCAGACUGGGUGCCCCAGGAGGGAAGGAGGCAUGGUGGCUGGUUAUAGGAAAUGGGAAAGGGGAUGUUGCAAGAAUCUGUGCAGUGGGUCUUGGCAUCCUGUGAGCCACUACAGCACAAGGUGAAAGAAUAAAGACAAGAAACAAGCCUUAGGAGAAGCUGGGUCUUGGGACCUUAUCAAUGCUGUUCUGGGCAACAAAGACAAAGGCCCCCAACUGCAUCCAGUGUUUAUUGAAUACAAUCAUGGGAAGGAAUAGGGAGCAGGGUGUGCUUUGAAGGCAUCCAGUGAAAUACUGCUGAACACCUGGCAUGAUGGCGCCAGGCAGGGCUGUUUGGGAGUUGGCACCACUUAUCUUGCUUGAUAGAACAAACUGGUACUGAGACUGGGUGCAAUUAGCAAGCAACCCCUCGGGUCACUGAGAAGCCAUAAUUCAGGGGAAAGGAUUUUAAUUGGAGUCACACUGACCUCAGCUGCACAUAACUCAGCAGAGCCCUGCCACUUCACAGGCCAGGACUUAGGCCUCGGUGACAGCCAUUAGCAAAGGAGCAAUGCUAGCCCAACUCUGCUACCUGACAGCCCAUUUGAGUCAUGCAGGGCUGUGGUCUGAGUCCUGUAUAAAACAAUAUAGCCAAAUUAAGGGAGGCAAGAAGCCACUCAUAGCCUGGUAGUACUGGGCAGGGAUGUCUGCUACAAUAGGUGACCUUUUUACCCCACUGAUGAUGUUGUUUGAUGCAGAAAAGCCUUUGUUUUGAUGUAGUUCAGGGAAAUUGACACUGAAUUUUAAAGCAUAGCUAUUUCAAUAAGGCUGUGUGUUGGG